CAUUCUCAUGCUGAUAAUAAAAACAUACCCUAGACUGGGUCAUUUAUAAAGGAAAGAAGUUUAAUUGACUCAGUUCCACAGGGCUGGGGAGGCCUCAGGAAACUUACAAUCAUGACAGAGGUGGAAGCAAACAUGCCCUUCUUCACAUGGCGGCAGCAAGGAAAAGUGCAGAGUGAAGUGGGGGAAAGCCCCUUAUAAAACCAUCAGAUCUCAUGAGAACUUACUAUCACAAGAACAGUAUGGAGGUGACAGCCCCCAUGAUUCAAUUACCUCCCAUCGGGACCCUCCUAUGACAAGUACGAAUUAUGAGAACUACAGUUCAAAAUGAGAUUUGGGUGGGAACACAGCCAAAUCACACCAGUGUAUAAGUAACUAUGAUCCCAAAUUGUUCACGUCAAAAAUAAUGUGAGAAUCUGCCCUUUACUUAGUACUUGAUGAAAAAAAUAGUUCACAAACAGAGUUUUAAGAAAUCUAACACAUUGUUCGUUACCAUUUUUUUCUGCUUGAAACACUUUUUAUUUUGUCUUUAUUUCUUACAGCCCAUCAUUUCUUCAAGGUCCAAUUAAAUUUUUGGGUGUUCCAUAACACCUUACCUUAGUCCCAAACGAUGAUGGUUGUGUGACCAUCUGUGAUAUAACACAUGAACUCUUUACAACAGAGUGAUAACUCCUUACUCAAUGUAUAAAGUGCAGAUUUUGAUCAACAUUUCCAAGACGGCAAUGUAAAGAAAAAUAGAUUCUGCUAGUUAAAAUGAGGAAAGUGCAGCUGGUCAUAGUCAUUCUCUUAUUAGGUUUUUGCUGUCCCCCAUUACUGGGGAAAAGAGAAUUGGCUUCAAGUAUCCCUGGGCAUCAGGUAUUUCCAAAGAAAAAGAAACUAGAUAUGCAGCUCCUAGAUAUUAGAAGCUAGUAAAU
rnacentral:lncRNA from 1 species